ACCAUGUUGCCCUAUUCUGAUGCACGGAAGCCGACGUUUUCGUUGUUCCGUUUAUUUUUUAAGCUGGGUAUGGCUUCCACAAUUUUUCUACAGAUUUUGCACGCAUAAAUGCGCCAUCGUGCACCACCGGAAGUUCGUUAGAUAGAUAUCAUGUUUGCUAAGGCACACUAAAAAGAGCAGCAUUGCCAUAGAAAGCCCAUUGGAAUUUGACUUGAACAUCGACAUCUGCCUCCUUGACACCUAUGCAUAGAGGAAUGUUACCGGAAUGCCAUCAACUUGGUAUCCAUUUCACCUAGCAAUGACAGAGCAACAUGUAAUGGCUCCACCACAAGUUCUCAACCUCAGUGGACAUGACACACUUGGAAUGAGGAUGAGGACAACCAUGGAGGUCUUUUUAAAUCAGGCACAAAGAUCUCAAGGCAGAUACCAGAGCCGCCGGCAGAGCGUCAUCACUGUUGGUGGCGGCAGUACCAUCGUUGCACGAGCGGUCUUCCUGUCUGUGAACUCCUGCCUUCCGAAAACAGUUGACAAGAACCUCAACUUUCGUUGCCUGCCACACUGCUGACCGCAUUUGUAAUGCUUGAAUGUAGUGCAGAGACUCAUUGUGCAGUGUUGUGUGGGUGACUACAGAAGAUUUUCGAGAAUUGUGCUGUGCCUGUGUCAAGAUAUUUGUGUAUAUUUUGUGCAACUUCUGCAUCGUGCGUAAUUGGUGUGUGAAAUUUCCGUAGAAGGAUGUGACGAAAACAGGUUAGGGACAGAUUCCUGGGAUUAUUGACUAAAGUUUUUUGUCAUCAUUGUCUGUGAUAGCUGAAAGGGUGUGCACAGUGCACCGCUCAUGCUUCAGAAGGAAGGGCAUGAUGUCGACGUCUCCUUCUGAAGGGCAAGACUUGCGGCAGGUUAUUCCGAAUGCACUUAAAGAUGUGUGGAACAUCCAUGAUGCAGAAAAUUCGCCUGUCUGGAAUACUGGGAUGCUCAAAUGAUGUACUGGGGUCACCUUCUCCUGACAUCCCUGAAGAAAAAGACAGUUUCAGUGCAACAUCAUCUUCAGCAAGGCGUUCAGGAUGAGUCUCUGGUGCAGUAAUGUCCAAAGUAUUAAACAAUGAAUGUAAAACAAUAGCCUGAAAAUACAGGAGUUACU